GACUCUCGACAAUGGAUAUCUUGGCUCUUGCAUCGAUGAAGAACGUACGAAAUGCGAUACUUGGUGUGAAUUGCAAAUCCCGUGAACCAUCGAGUCUUUGAACGCAAGUUGCGCUUGAAGCCAUUAGGUUGAAGGCAUGUCUGUCUGGGCGUCUCA
rnacentral:rRNA from 1 species